rnacentral:rRNA from 1 species
GACGAACGCUGGCGGCGUGCUUAACACAUGCAAGUCGAACGGAAAGGCCCUGCUUUUGUUGGGUGCUCGAGUGGCGAACGGGUGAGUAACACGUGAGUAUCCUGUCCUUGUCUUUGGGAUAACUUCAGGAAACUGGGGCUCAUACCGGAUAGGAUCUCCUGCUGCAUGGUGGGGGUUGGAAAGUUUCGGCGGUUGGGGAUGGACUCGCGGCUUAUCAGCUUGUUGGUGGGGUAGUGGCUUACCAAGGGUUUGACGGGUAGCCGGCCUGAGAGGGUGAACGGGCACAUUGGGACUGAGAGACGGCCCAGAAUCGUACGGGAGGCAGCAGUGGGGAGUAUUGCAGAGAGGGCGGAAGCCAGAUGCAGCAACGCCGGGUGCGGGAUGACGGCCUUCGGGUUGUAAACCGCUUUGGACUGUGACGAAGCGUGAGUGACGGUAAUGGGUAAAGAAGCACCGGCUAACUACGUG